rnacentral:rRNA from 1 species
UACGUAGGGGGCAAGCGUUAUCCGGAUUUAUUGGGCGUAAAGAGAACGCAGGCGGUCUUUUAAGUCUGAUGUGAAAGCCUUCGGCUUAACCGGAGUAGUGCAUUGGAAACUGGGAGACUUGAGUGCAGAAGAGGAGAGUGGAACUCCAUGUGUAGCGGUGAAAUGCGUAGAUAUAUGGAAGAACACCAGUGGCGAAAGCGGCUCUCUGGUCUGUAACUGACGUUGAGGCUCGAAAGCGUGGGGAGCAAACAGG